AGCUCAAAUUUGAAAUCUGGCACCUUCGGUGUCCGAGUUGUAAUUUGAAGAAGGUAUCUUUGGUUUUGGCUCUUGUCUAUGUUCCUUGGAACAGGACGUCACAGAGGGUGAGAAUCCCGUGCGAUGAGAUGCCCAAUUCCAUGUAAAGUUCCUUCGACGAGUCGAGUUGUUUGGGAAUGCAGCUCUAAGUGGGUGGUAAAUUCCAUCUAAAGCUAAAUAUUGGCGAGAGACCGAUAGCGAACAAGUACUGUGAAGGAAAGAUGAAAAGAACUUUGAAAAGAGAGUGAAAAAGUACGUGAAAUUGUUGAAAGGGAAGGGCUUGAGAUUAGACUUGGAAUUUUCCAUUUAUGGAGCUUUCCGGGCCAGCAUCAGUUUGGAUGGCAGGAUAAUUGCGUUGGAAAGUAGCACCACUUCGGUGGUGUGUUAUAGACUUCGUCGAUACUGCCUAUCUAGACUGAGGACCGCGUCUUUGACUA
rnacentral:rRNA from 1 species